rnacentral:rRNA from 1 species
CAUGGCUCAGAUUGAACGCUGGCGGUAUGCUUAAGACAUGCAAGUCGAACGGAAUCUUCGGAUUCAGUGGCGGACGGGUGAGUAACACGUGGGAAUCUACUGAGUAGUGGGGGACAGCCCGGCGAAAGCCGGAUUAAUACCGCAUACGCCCUACGGGGGAAAGGCGCAAGCCGCUAUUCAAUGAGCCCGCGUAAGAUUAGCUAGUUGGUAAGGUAAAGGCUUACCAAGGCGACGAUCUUUAGCUGGUCUGAGAGGAUGGCCAGCCACAUCGGGACUGAGACACGGCCCGGACUCCUACGGGAGGCAGCAGUCGGGAAUAUUGGACAAUGGGCGCAAGCCGUGAUCCAGCAAUACCGCGUGUGUGAAGAAGGCCUGCGGGUUGUA